UUUUUGAUAAUAUUUUAAGAUUAGUUCUGCUCAAUGAUUAUAAGAAAUUAAAUAGCCGCAGUAUUUUGACUGUGCUAAGGUAGCAUAAUCAAUUGUUUUUUAAAUGAAAACUAGAAUAAAGGAAUAAAUGAAAUUAAAGCUGUUUCAAGUUUAAAAUUAUAAUUUAUAUUUUGAGUUAAAAUUCUUAAAUGAGUUUAUGGGACGAGAAGACCCUAUUGAAUUUGAUAAAAAUUUUUUAAAGAUUAAUUUUAGUAUGAUUUAGUUAAUUUAAAAAUUUUAUUUUAUUGGGAGGAUAGUUAAAUUUGAAAAACUUUAAUGAAAAUUAUAAUAACAUUAAUUUAUGAUUUAAUAGAAUAAUUUUAUUAAUGUAAUUAAAAUUAUUAUGAGAAUUAAUUACCUUAGGGAUAACAGCGUAAUAUUUUUAUAAAGUUCUUAUUGAUAAAAAUGUUUGCGACCUCGAUGUUGAAUUAAAAUAAAAAUUAAAUGAAAAAGUUUAAUAUUUUAGUCUGUUCGACUAUUAAAAUUUUACGUGAUCUGAGUUCA
rnacentral:rRNA from 1 species